rnacentral:lncRNA from 1 species
UCAUAUAGUGUGGUUUGGAUCCUCAGUUAAAACUUAUGACGGCAGAAUUUGAUUUCUCCAUGAAAUAACUUAUGCAAAUAGUCGUCAUAAUCUUGUAACAGCACCAAGCAGUGGGAGACUAUUGUUGGCAGAAAUUAAUAAGCGAGGGAGAGCAAUUAAAUCUUUUAGUCAUUUGACAGAUGGAGGAACAGGAAAUAAAAAAUAUUCGCAAGCUGAAUUGGCUGUAGCUUUCAUACCUAGGUGACAUAAGCCAAAAAAUAUUCGCUGGUCUAAGGGGUG